rnacentral:rRNA from 1 species
UUAAGUUAUUAAGGGCGCACGGUGGAUGCCUUGGCACUAGAAGCCGAUGAAGGACGUUACUAACGACGAUAUGCUUUGGGGAGCUGUAAGUAAGCUUUGAUCCAGAGAUUUCCGAAUGGGGAAACCCAGCAUGAGUUAUGUCAUGUUAUCGAUAUGUGAAUACAUAGCAUAUCAGAAGGCACACCCGGAGAACUGAAACAUCUUAGUACCCGGAGGAAGAGAAAGAAAAUUCGAUUCCCUUAGUAGCGGCGAGCGAAACGGGAAGAGCCCAAACCAACAAGCUUGCUUGUUGGGGUUGUAGGACACUCUAUACGGAGUUACAAAGGACGACAUUAGACGAAUCAUCUGGAAAGAUGAAUCAAAGAAGGUAAUAAUCCUGUAGUCGAAAAUGUUGUCUCUCUUGAGUGGAUCCUGAGUACGACGGAGCACGUGAAAUUCCGUUGGAAUCUGGGAGGACCAUCUCCUAAGGCUAAAUACUCUCUAGUGACCGAUAGUGAACCAGUACCGUGAGGGAAAGGUGAAAAGCACCCCGGAAGGGGAGUGAAAUAGAACCUGAAACCGUGUGCUUACAAGUAGUCAGAGCCCGUUAAUGGGUGAUGGCGUGCCUUUUGUAGAAUGAACCGGCGAGUUACGAUUUGAUGCAAGGUUAAGCAGUAAAUGUGGAGCCGUAGCGAAAGCGAGUCUGAAUAGGGCGUUUAGUAUUUGGUCGUAGACCCGAAACCAGGUGAUCUACCCUUGGUCAGGUUGAAGUUCAGGUAACACUGAAUGGAGGACCGAACCGACUUACGUUGAAAAGUGAGCGGAUGAACUGAGGGUAGCGGAGAAAUUCCAAUCGAACCUGGAGAUAGCUGGUUCUCUCCGAAAUAGCUUUAGGGCUAGCCUCAAGUGAUGAUUAUUGGAGGUAGAGCACUGUUUGGACGAGGGGCCCCUCUCGGGUUACCGAAUUCAGACAAACUCCGAAUGCCAAUUAAUUUAACUUGGGAGUCAGAACAUGGGUGAUAAGGUCCGUGUUCGAAAGGGAAACAGCCCAGACCACCAGCUAAGGUCCCAAAAUAUAUGUUAAGUGGAAAAGGAUGUGGCGUUGCCCAGACAACUAGGAUGUUGGCUUAGAAGCAGCCAUCAUUUAAAGAGUGCGUAAUAGCUCACUAGUCGAGUGACACUGCGCCGAAAAUGUACCGGGGCUAAACAUAUUACCGAAGCUGUGGAUUGUCCUUUGGACAAUGGUAGGAGAGCGUUCUAAGGGCGUUGAAGCAUGAUCGUAAGGACAUGUGGAGCGCUUAGAAGUGAGAAUGCCGGUGUGAGUAGCGAAAGACGGGUGAGAAUCCCGUCCACCGAUUGACUAAGGUUUCCAGAGGAAGGCUCGUCCGCUCUGGGUUAGUCGGGUCCUAAGCUGAGGCCGACAGGCGUAGGCGAUGGAUAACAGGUUGAUAUUCCUGUACCACCUAUAAUCGUUUUAAUCGAUGGGGGGACGCAGUAGGAUAGGCGAAGCGUGCGAUUGGAUUGCACGUCUAAGCAGUAAGGCUGAGUAUUAGGCAAAUCCGGUACUCAUUAAGGCUGAGCUGUGAUGGGGAGAAGACAUUGUGUCUUCGAGUCGUUGAUUUCACACUGCCGAGAAAAGCCUCUAGAUAGAAAAUAGGUGCCCGUACCGCAAACCGACACAGGUAGUCAAGAUGAGAAUUCUAAGGUGAGCGAGCGAACUCUCGUUAAGGAACUCGGCAAAAUGACCCCGUAACUUCGGGAGAAGGGGUGCUCUUUAGGGUUAACGCCCAGAAGAGCCGCAGUGAAUAGGCCCAAGCGACUGUUUAUCAAAAACACAGGUCUCUGCUAAACCGUAAGGUGAUGUAUAGGGGCUGACGCCUGCCCGGUGCUGGAAGGUUAAGAGGAGUGGUUAGCUUCUGCGAAGCUACGAAUCGAAGCCCCAGUAAACGGCGGCCGUAACUAUAACGGUCCUAAGGUAGCGAAAUUCCUUGUCGGGUAAGUUCCGACCCGCACGAAAGGCGUAACGAUUUGGGCACUGUCUCAACGAGAGACUCGGUGAAAUCAUAGUACCUGUGAAGAUGCAGGUUACCCGCGACAGGACGGAAAGACCCCGUGGAGCUUUACUGUAGCCUGAUAUUGAAAUUCGGCACAGCUUGUACAGGAUAGGUAGGAGCCUUUGAAACGUGAGCGCUAGCUUACGUGGAGGCGCUGGUGGGAUACUACCCUAGCUGUGUUGGCUUUCUAACCCGCACCACUUAUCGUGGUGGGAGACAGUGUCAGGCGGGCAGUUUGACUGGGGCGGUCGCCUCCUAAAAGGUAACGGAGGCGCUCAAAGGUUCCCUCAGAAUGGUUGGAAAUCAUUCAUAGAGUGUAAAGGCAUAAGGGAGCUUGACUGCGAGACCUACAAGUCGAGCAGGGUCGAAAGACGGACUUAGUGAUCCGGGGGUUCCGCAUGGAAGGGCCAUCGCUCAACGGAUAAAAGCUACCCCGGGGAUAACAG